UAACCAUGAGCAAGUCUCUUACGACCAGCUCCCUUUAAAUCCCCCAGGAUGGGAACAUAGCAAGGGUAGAAGGUUGUAGCGGUGCGAUAAGAAUCGCUUGCUCACCC
rfam:Prevotella bivia DSM 20514 genomic scaffold Prebiscaffold_3, whole genome shotgun sequence.